GGAGGUGUAGCUUAGUGGUAAAGCACUUGAAUACAUGAGUCUCUGGGCUCAAUCCCCAGUAUCACUA
rnacentral:tRNA from 1 species